UCAUUACCUUCUACGUAGUCUGCGGCGUAAGCGCUGCGCGCAUGAUCUGCAUCACCAUUUUAUUUAAUUCGUUUUCGCCAGUGAAUGUUAAAUUAAAUGUGCAUUGCCGUCUGAUUAAAUAAUUAACAAAGGAAAUAAAACACCCCAGGAAGUAUGAAAUUGCCGAGCUGCGGAGCCAUCUUCGAAUCCAUGCUGAUCCGAACUUUUGACGACUUUAACGUACGUCCACACAACACCGUAUUUGUUUAGGACUUUCAGGAGAACUAUCUGGUCCAACAUGUUUGUAAGUGGGACGUAUUCCGGUUGCAUCAAAUAGUAGAUGGAGAAGAACUAAGUUCGCUUCAGUGAUGAAGAAUGAGGAGGAACCUUUUGAAGGGAUCGUCCGUACAGAACACAUGUGGACUGUGUAGCCAGAAUUUUUCCCGGAUAAAAAUCAUGGAUCACGCUAAAGAUCAUCAAAAAUUGGAAGAACUCUUUGCCUGUCGACAAUGCUCACGAGGGCUUCCCAGCACAGCUUGUCCACCAUAUGUAAAUACGCCGGAAUUAGACCAUGUGACCGUUCAUUCAUCCAGUCAAAUUUAGUCAUAUAAGCCAGAUAACAGACAAAUACGAUAAACAAAACAAGUAAACCAAAUAAUACUAACAAAAUAAAUAAGACAAACAAGACACAUAAUUAAGUUUUCCUCGGUGUUUGCCCUAUUAAUCUUACUUAUGUGUCUUGUUUGUCUCAUUUAUUUUGUUCGUCUUAUUUGGUUUACUUAUAAGGUAUUUUAAAGUAUGAAACGAACAUUUAAUUAGAAUUUAUUAUUGCAAAUUUUGCGCCGUGUUCGACUCCCAUGCAAAAAAUAUUGUCCCACCAAAAUAUGUUCCCACCAGUUUCUCCAUAUAUGGAUGACGUCUCCACUGCAAGAAAGAGCUUUUUAGGGUGUGUGAAAGGGUGCAAGAAUGAUGUUUUGGAUUGUGCUUUCGCUAAUUUCUAUACAAUUAGACGUGUGAGCAUUUGUUUUGGUACUUCGAUAAAUUUGCACGAUAGUCUAUUCU